ACCAACAGGAAACAACCAGGCAGAGAUUUGGGAAAAAUUGUACAUUGGCCGAUUGUGCUUGCAUCAUUUGUGGAUGUCAUAUCCUAGCUUGAACACACUGCAUACAUGACCCAGUUCCUGGUCACCAUGGAGACUACAGUAAAGCGAGAUUCCAGCCUGAGUUGUGUUGAUGACGCUCCGUUUCCAGCUACUGUACAAAAUGUGGACCUCAGACACCAGACUGACAAUUUUCCACCAGCGCCUGCAGCCCCUCCUCACACAGCCACGCCCCCACGUCCUCCUCUGACCAAUCACUGACCAGAAGCCUGGAGGGACACAGCAACUUUCUGCCUAACAGGUCAGAAAACAGGAAGUGAC